ensembl:lncRNA
AAAAAAAAAAAAAAAAAAAGGCAAUGAAGGAAAAAGCUGAAAAAAAAAAAAAAAAAAAAAAAAAAAAAAAAAAAAAAAAAAAAAAAAAAAAAAAAAAAAACCACCUGUCUAACUUGGUUCAUAGUCCUACGAGGAAAGACUCCAGCUGGCCCAUCGAUCCAUUGGAGACUAUAAGAACUUUAUGAGAGAGUUUCUUUGGAAAAGAAUAAUUUCACUGGAGAAAGUUUUACUUCCUGUCACAGUGAUCUAGGACAGCUUCUCUGGUCUUUUCUUCUUAUAGUAUGGAAGAUAAAUGGAAAUAAAUAGUUGAUGCCCUUUGGAUGAAAAUAUUCUUUUCAGAGUUUUUAUCUGUGAGGGAUUUGCAACACCUUUGCUGAAGAUCUAUAGGCUGAGGCUGUGUCUUUUGUUUUGUUUUUGUUUUUGUUUGUUUUGGGUGGGGGUGUGUUGUUUAUUUUUCAAUUGGUUUGUUGGUCUUGCUUGUGUUUCUUUUGUGUGUGUAUGUUUAUUUAUUUGUUUAUUUAAUUAUUUAUUUUAUCUUUUUUCUCCUAAGAAUAGCCCUGAACAUCUGUGCUAUAUUGUUCUAAUUUUGGCUGGAAUUGAGUUAACUUUCUUCCUAAGAUAUGAUGUUGUGUUUUGGAUUUGAU